rnacentral:rRNA from 1 species
AACGAACGCUGGCGGCAUGCCUAACACAUGCAAGUCGAACGAGACCUUCGAGUCUAGUGGCGCACGGGUGCGUAACGCGUGGGAACCUGCCCUUAGGUUCGGAAUAACUCCCCGAAAGGGGUGCUAAUACCGGAUAAUGUCUUCGGACCACAGAUUUAUCGCCUUUGGAUGGGCCCGCGUUGGAUUAGCUAGUUGGUAGGGUAAAAGCCUACCAAGGCGACGAUCCAUAGCUGGUCUGAGAGGAUGAUCAGCCACACUGGGACUGAGACACGGCCCAGACUCCUACGGGAGGCAGCAGUGGGGAAUAUUGGACAAUGGGCGAAAGCCUGAUCCAGCAAUGCCGCGUGAGUGAUGAAGGCCUUAGGGUUGUAAAGCUCUUUUACCCGGGAUGAUAAUGACAGUACCGGGAGAAUAAGCUCCGGCUAACUCCGUG